GAUGCCCCUGAGGCGUUGCAGCUCAGCUGCUGGUGCUGCUGCUGUGUCAGAAGGUGGCAGAGAGAGACCGGUGCUGGUCUGCACUGAGACUCGCUGACGUUCAGAGGACUCAGAGUCAUUAUCAGCACCCACAAC
ensembl:snoRNA